CCUACGGGAGGCAGCAGUGGGGGAUAUUGCACAAUGGGGGGAACCCUGAUGCAGCGACGCCGCGUGGGUGAAGGAGCGAUUCGGCGCGUAAAGCCCUAUCGGCAGGGAAGAAGGAGGACGGUACCUGACUAAGAAGCCCCGGCUAACUACGUGCACGCAGCCGCGGUAAUCCGGAGGGGGCGAGCGUUAUCCGGAUUCACUGGGUGUAAAGGGAGCGUAGACGGCCAUGCAGGCCAGGGGGGGACGCCCGGGGCCCAACCCCGGGACUGCCCUUGAGACUGGAAGGCUGGAGUGCGGGAGGGGCAGGCGGAAUUCGUGGUGUAGCGGUGAAAUGCGUAGAUAUCAGGAGGAACACCGGCGGCGAAGGCGGCCUGCUGGACCGCGACUGACGUUGAGGCUCGAAAGCGUGGGGAGCGAACAGGAUUAGAUACCCGAGUAGUC
rnacentral:rRNA from 1 species